AAGGGUGUAGCUCAGUGGUAGAGCACAUGCUUAGCAUGCUUGAGAUGCUGGGUUCAAUCCUCAGUACCUCCC
rnacentral:tRNA from 1 species